AAGAGACAGCAGCAGCCGCAGUAAUACGGAGGGGGCUAGCGUUGUUCGGAAUUACUGGGCGUAAAGCGCACGUAGGCGGCUUUGUAAGUUAGAGGUGAAAGCCUGGAGCUCAACUCCAGAAUUGCCUUUAAGACUGCAUCGCUUGAAUCGCGGAGAGGUGAGCGGAAUUCCGAGUGUAGAGGUGAAAUUUGUAGAUAUUCGGAAGAACACCAGUGGCGAAGGCGGCCAUCUGGGACAACACUGACGCUGAGGCACGAAAGCAUGGGGAGCAAACAGGAUUAGAUACCCCCGUAGUCCCUGUCUCUUAUAC
rnacentral:rRNA from 1 species